rnacentral:rRNA from 1 species
UACGUAGGGGGCUAGCGUUGUCCGGAUUUAUUGGGCGUAAAGAGCGUGUAGGCGGCCAGGUAGGUCUGGUGUGAAAACUCGAGGCUUAACCUCGAGAUGUCAUCGGAAACCAUUUGGCUAGAGUCCGGAAGAGGAGAGUGGAAUUCCUGGUGUAGCGGUGAAAUGCGCAGAUAUCAGGAAGAACACCAAUGGCGAAAGCAGCUCUCUGGGACGGUACUGACGCUGAGACGCGAAAGCGUGGGGAGCGAACAGGG